rnacentral:misc_RNA from 1 species
GGAGGUAAAAGUCGUAACAAGGUUUCCGUAGGUGAACCUGCGGAAGGAUCAUUAUUGUAUAACCGAGGUGCGAGGGCUGUCGCUGACCCGAAAGGUCGUGCACGCCCGAGUGCCCUCACACACAUCCAUCUCACCCCUAUGUGCACCACCGCGUGGGUCCCCCUUUGGCUUGUUCGGAGGGGGGCUUACGUUUUCACACAAACUUUGUAUGCAGUAUAGAAUGUAUUUUUUGUUUUUGCGAUCACGCAAUCAAUACAACUUUCAACAACGGAUCUCUUGGCUCUC